CUACGGGCCGCUGCAGUGGGGAAUAUUGGACAAUGGGCACAAGCCUGAUCCAGCAAUACCGCGUGUGUGAAGAAGGCCCGAGGGUUGUAAAGCACUUUCAGUAGGGAGGAUUGAUUUUACGGAUAAUACCCGUGAAGUUUGACGUUACCUACAGAAGAAGCACCGGCUAACUCAGUGCCAGCAGCCGCGGUAAUACUGAGGGUGCAAGCGUUAAUCGGAAUUACUGGGCGUAAAGCGCGCGUAGGUGGUUAGAUCAGUUGGGUGUGAAAGCCCCGGGCUCAACCUGGGAACUGCAUUCAAUACUGUCUAGCUAGAGUACGGUAGAGGGAAGUGGAAUUCCGCAUGUAGCGGUGAAAUGCGUAGAGAUGCGGAGGAACACCAGUGGCGAAGGCGACUUCCUGGACCGAUACUGACACUGAGGUGCGAAAGCGUGGGGAGCAAACAGGAUUAGAUACCCUAGUAGUC
rnacentral:rRNA from 1 species